CCGGCGCACGGGUGAGUAACGCGUAUCCAACCUGCCCACCACUUGGGGAUAACCUUGCGAAAGUAAGACUAAUACCCAAUGAUAUCUCCAGAAGACAUCUGAAAGAGAUUAAAGAUUCAUCGGUGAUGGAUGGGGAUGCGUCUGAUUAGCUUGUUGGCGGGGUAACGGCCCACCAAGGCAACGAUCAGUAGGGGUUCUGAGAGGAAGGUCCCCCACAUUGGAACUGAGACACGGUCCAA
rnacentral:rRNA from 1 species